UACAGAGGUCCCAAGCGUUGUUCGGAUUCACUGGGCGUAAAGGGUGCGCAGGUGGGUUUGCAAGUUCGAUGUGAAAGCCCCGGGCUUAACCCGGGAAUGGCAUUGGAUACUGCAGAUCUGGAGGAUCGGAGGGGGGACUGGAAUUCUUGGUGUAGCAGUGAAAUGCGUAGAUAUCAAGAGGAACACCAGUGGCGAAGGCGAGUCCUGGACGGUACCUGACACUGAGGCACGAAAGCGUGGGGAGCAAACAGG
rnacentral:rRNA from 1 species